GCUCUUUGACAUAAUUGAUACAGGCGACAAUAAUAGAUAACUCACGUGGGUGCAAUGCCCACAUAGUGACUAACAAUACCGCUUGCAGGCUUAGACCUAUCGUGCUAAGCACUGAACGGCUUACGACCGCCCCCUGGACUUCGCAACGUCCCUGCAAGCAC
ncrna:unclassified sequences DTF2693 RNA